UUUAAAUGUAAAUAAAAAUUCUAAAUUAGUAUAAGUUAUAUUCUUUAAAGUUAAAGAUUUUGGCGGUAUUUUAGUCUUUUCAGAGGAACCUGUUCUAUAAUUGAUAGUCCACGAUUUAUUUUACUUAUUUUAAUUAAUUUGUAUAUCGUCGUAGUUUGAAUAUUUUAUAAGAAUUAAAAUAUUCUUAAAUUUUUAUAAAAAAAGAAAUCAGAUCAAGGUGCAGUUUAUAAAUAAGAAGUAAUGGGUUACAAUAAUUUUAUUUAUAUGGUAUAAUAUUUGAAUAAAUUUUAUUAAAGUGGAUUUGAAAGUAAUAUAUUUUAUUUUAAAUAUAUGAUUUAAGCUCUAAAAUAUGC
rnacentral:rRNA from 1 species